rnacentral:lncRNA from 1 species
ACUCUAAAAAGAUAGCCAAAGUCACAGCAGUGUUCACGCGGUUUCAUUGUAAAGACGUGCCAAAAUACUUAAGAGGCACUAUUUUUCUACCUAGGUCACCCAUCUUUGAGAAUACCGACAGCCCGCCCUCACUUCGACGCUCCCCAUCCAUUAUUAAAAAAAAAUAAAUAAAUAAAUUUAAACAUGUCUGCUGUGCCUUUCAUGCAAACCUAUAAACAGUCACAUCUUCCCCGCAGCGACGCCCAGGUCUGAGUCCCACAAGCAGCGAGACUGCAGACUGCGGCGCUGGCUGGGGCCACUCCUCCCGCGACACUCCGAAACUGCUCCCCUUUCCCUUGGGAUUUCUAAGGGUUCGGACCAGCUAAGACCCCUCCCUUUAAGUCCAGCCCGGGGAAGGGGAGGCGGAGAGAGCCUUGCGGAAGCAGUGCCACAGGAAAACCCCGUGUCCCCUGCCCAGCUGGCAGGAGUGGCCCUGGCGGCGCGCGCCCAGCCGCUCCCAGGUACAAAAACACACCCGAGGCGCUUGCUGUUGUACCAUUUAUCUAUCAGUCACUAAUGAAUAUUAUUCUCCCAUAACUAUGUAUAAGCUAUGUAUAUGAAUUACUAUGGAUAUUCUGUAUACUGGAGCUGCACUCGUGCACAAGACAUGGAACAAAUCCAGUAGUUUCCAAAGUCCAAAUCUAAUUAGGAAAUACUACAGAAUCAACUCUGGACUCAGCAUCUCCUUCCUCCUGUCUACAUGGUCACAUACUGGUUUUCGAGGUUCCAUCUUUGCUAAUGAAGAAGGUUGCUUUGGAAAUACAGAACAAGAGUAGGAGACGUACCUCAGAGGUGGAGCACUUGCUUGUUAUAUGCAAGGUCUCCACUUUGAUCCCUGAUGGUGGAAAAUAAAAUAAAGUGCAAAGAAAAAAUGAACAAGUCCAACUAACUUAAAAAUCACAAAGGAUGGGGCUGGAGAGAUGGCUCAGUGGUUAAGAGCACUGGCUGUUCUUCCAGAGGUCCUCAGUUAAAGUCUUAGCAUUCACAUGACAGCUCACAAUUGUCUGUGACUGUAUCUAGUAGGACCAAAUGCCCUCUUCUGAUGUGCAUACAUGCCAACAGAAUACCCACAUACAUAAAAUACAUGCAUGAAUAAAUCUUUUUUAAAAACAUUUUUAAAAGGAAAAAUCACAAAGGAGCCAGGUGUGGUAACACAUACCUUUAGUCCUAGCACUCAGGAGACAGAAAGCUAGGGGGUCCCUGAGUUUGAGACCAGUCUGGUCUACAGAGCAAGUUUCAGAAAAGCCUGGUCUAUAGAACAAGUUGAGGGACAGCCAGGGCUACACAGAAAAUCGCUAUCUUUACAAACAAACAAGAAAGAACCACAAAGGAGGGCAUAGCAGCACAGACCUUUAAUCCCAGCACUUGGGAGGUAGAGGCAGGACAAACUCUGUGAGUUCUUGGCCAGCCUGGUCUACAUAGUGAGUUUCAGGCAAGCCAGAGCUACAUAUACCCAGUUUAAAAAAACAAAACAAAACAAAACAAAACGACAACAACAAACUCCCAAAGGCAGAGCUAUUGAGAGGGCUCAGUGGGUAAAGGCACUUGUCGUCUGGCCUUAUAUCCUAAGUUUGACCCCCUGGAAUCCAGUUAGUGCAUGGAGCAAGCAGACUCCCACACGUUCUCUGACCUCCACACACGCACAGUGGCGCUUGGUAUCAGACAUUAGGUAAAUAUAAUAAAACUUUUACAGCAGUUCUCUGGAACCAACUCCCUAAAAUUGUCUGACUUCCACAUGAGUGCCACAGAGUGUGUACAUACAUCAUACUUACGUAUACAUAUAAUAAAAAUUUUUUUAAUCAUAAAGGACUGCUAGACACGGUGGCAAACAUCCCAGUGUUUGAGAGGGUAAGGCAAGAGACUUUCUGUGAACUUCUGCCAGCCUGGGCUACAUGGUAAUCUCCUGUCUCAAAAACCUGAAACAAAUAGGCUACAAAGUAUGGCUAUGAAGUCCAUGAGUACCCCACACGUGUGGACAGCCCUGUGAUCUGGGACCCUUUCCGCAUAUCAUUCAGAAAUCAAGUGAUUUUUUUUUUUUAUAGACGAGGACCCUGGGAUUCAGAGAGGCUGUAUUGAGUAGUGGCCAAGUAGUAAUUCAAGUACUUUUUAAAACAAAUGCAUUUAUUUAUUUAUUUAUUUAUUUAAUCUAUCGAUCUAUUUACUUAGACAGGACUUACUAUGUGGCCCCGUUUGGUUUAGAAUGUGCAGAAAUCUACCUGCUUCUGCCUCCUGGUGCUGGGGUUAAAGGUGUUUGCCAUUCCUGGCUUUAGUCAUAGUUUAUGAUAAUUUGCUUUUGCUUUUUUUUUUUUUUUUGGUUUUUCAAGACAGGGUUUCUCUGUGUAGCCCUGGCUGUCCUGGAACUCACUCUGUAGACCAGGCUGGCCUCGAACUCAGAAAUCCGUCUACCUCUGCCUCCCGAGUGCUGGGCUUGAAGGCUUAGCCACCACUGCUCCCCACUCCCCAAGCAUGUAACAGGGGCCCAUGUAGCUCAGACUGGCCUUAAACUUGAUAUGUAGCUCAGGAUGACCUUCAAUCCCUCAUUCUCUCGUCACCUCUCACAAGCUGGAAACCUAGGCAUGCACCACCAUGUCUGAUUUAUGUUGUGCCAUCAGUCUACCAGCUAAGCUCAGCCUUAGUCCCUAGAAAUACAACUCUGUUAUAAUUUGAAUUCUGAGCUACUGUCUUAUACAGUACAACAAGAAAAGAAGCGAAAGCCUAAGGAAGAAUUUUCCAAGGUCGUGAAGUGAGUCAUGGUGGAACGUCAAACACUGUAUGUCCUAGUUCAAGACACCGGCACCAAGAUGAGAAGAUUUGACAACAUUCUGUCAUGAAAAAUAAAUGUUGGCAGGAUCUGGGAUUGAUGAGGCAAGGCUCCAGGCACGUCUGUGAAGGGUUCUGGUGACUCUGUUAGCCUCUGGGCAUACCCGUGGGAGGCUAUUGUGAUUAGGCUAAUUGAGGUGGGAAGACCUGCCCACAAUGGUUGGUAUCAUUCCCUAGGCUGUGAGCUGUGCCAUAAUAGGCAUUGCUUUCUGCUUCCUGACUGUGGACACGGUGUGACCAGCCACCUCAAGCUCCUACCUUCCUUCCUACCUUGCCAUAAUGGACUUGCCCUUGAACUGUAAACCAAAAAUAAAUGUUUUCUUCCUUAAA